rnacentral:rRNA from 1 species
UACGUAGGGUGCAAGCGUUAAUCGGAAUUACUGGGCGUAAAGCGUGCGCAGGCGGUUGUGCAAGACCGAUGUGAAAUCCCCCGGGCUUAACCUGGGAAUGGCAUUGGUGACUGCACGGCUAGAGUGUGUCAGAGGGGGGUAGAAUUCCACGUGUAGCAGUGAAAUGCGUAGAGAUGUGGAGGAAUACCGAUGGCGAAGGCAGCCUCCUGGGCCAACACUGACGCUCAUGCACGAAAGCGUGGGGAGCAAACAGG